rnacentral:lncRNA from 10 species
CCGCAAGCCUGGGCAGGAUGAUCUUCAGUGUGAUAUGGUGUCACCUCCUACUAGCUGUGUGGCUGAGGGCAAGUCACUGUGCCUCUCUUAGCUCAGUGUCCACAUCUGCAGAAUAGGGACAGCUCUCUCUACCUCACAGGGCUGUCAUGAAAAGCCAGGAGACUAGAGGACACUUCAGCACCUCCCACCACUCCCGAUGAGCACUGCGUAGAUCUGCAGUCAGUGUGAGCAAGUGCUGUUCUCUUUCUGUCAUUUGGAAUGACUGCAUCUGGGCUUGAUUCUAGUCACAGGGCUGCCUCCUGGCUGAUGGCUUCUCUGAAAGGCACUACACGUGCUUUAAGUAGUAUUUGCAAGUGACACUGCAUCCAGGCCGGGCCAGUGCUGCUGGAGAGCUGCCUACAAGCUUUCUGGAGACAAUGCAUUGAUCCAUUUCUUUACUGGGCACCAGGCCUGAUGCAGGGAGGCAUGUAAGGAGUGAGUGGUCAUCUGUAGCAAGGCCACACCCAGUUACAUCAGCCCUGCUUCAAGAAGCAGAAGUCUAGGUUUGUAGUCUUGGCUCUGCUGCCAAUGGCUGUGUGACCUUGGGCAAGGCCUUUGUCUGCUCUGGUCAUCAGCCAAUUUGCUGACUCUACAAGGC